rnacentral:rRNA from 1 species
UGCAGUCGAGCGAGUCUGCCUUGAAGAUCGGAGUGCUUGCACUCUGUGAAACAAGAUACAGGCUAGCGGCGGACGGGUGAGUAACACGUGGGUAACCUGCCCAAGAGAUCGGGAUAACACCUGGAAACAGAUGCUAAUACCGGAUAACAACAGAUGAUGCCUAUCAACUGUUUAAAAGAUGGUUCUGCUAUCACUCUUGGAUGGACCUGCGGUGCAUUAGCUAGUUGGUGGGGUAACGGCCUACCAAGGCGAUGAUGCAUAGCCGAGUUGAGAGACUGAUCGGCCACAUUGGGACUGAGACACGGCCCAAACUCCUACGGGAGGCAGCAGUAGGGAAUCUUCCACAAUGGACGCAAGUCUGAUGGAGCAACGCCGCGUGAGUGAAGAAGGGUUUCGGCUCGUAAAGCUCUGUUGUUGGUGAAGAAGGACAGGGGUAGUAACUGACCUUUGUUUGACGGUAAUCAAUUAGAAAGUCACGGCUAACUACGUGCCAGCAGCCGCGGUAAUACGUAGGUGGCAAGCGUUGUCCGGAUUUAUUGGGCGUAAAGCGAGUGCAGGCGGCUCGAUAAGUCUGAUGUGAAAGCCUUCGGCUCAACCGGAGAAUUGCAUCAGAAACUGUCGAGCUUGAGUACAGAAGAGGAGAGUGGAACUCCAUGUGUAGCGGUGAAAUGCGUAGAUAUAUGGAAGAACACCGGUGGCGAAGGCGGCUCUCUGGUCUGUUACUGACGCUGAGGCUCGAAAGCAUGGGUAGCGAACAGGAUUAGAUACCCUGGUAGUCCAUGCCGUANACGAUGAGUGCUAAGUGUUGGGAGGUUUCCGCCUCUCAGUGCUGCAGCUAACGCAUUAAGCACUCCGCCUGGGGAGUACGACCGCAAGGUUGAAACUCAAAGGAAUGACGGGGGCCCGCACAAGCGGUGGAGCAUGUGGUUU